UACAGAGGUCUCAAGCGUUGUUCGGAUUCAUUGGGCGUAAAGGGUGCGUAGGCGGCGGGGUAAGUCUGGUGUGAAAUCUCGGAGCUCAACUCCGAAAUUGCACUGGAUACUGCUCUGCUAGAGGGCUGGAGAGGAGAUCGGAAUUCACGGUGUAGCAGUGAAAUGCGUAGAUAUCGUGAGGAAGACCAGUGGCGAAGGCGGAUCUCGGAC
rnacentral:rRNA from 1 species